AAAUAAAGUAUAGAAUGUAAUAGAGUCUUUCUCUUCUCCUUCAGCCACAGGUGGAAUCCAGACCCCUCUCCGAGAUUUAUAAGGUGAGUAGAAAGGAGGUUAAAACACUCACCACUACUGCCUUAAGUGAGACAUGUUUUGUACCCUGGGGAAUAUUAUGGUAUCAAUAAAAUCCUUCUUUUUUCUAUUUUAUUUUCCAGCCUCCUGAUGGUCGGCUGACUAAGGAUGUGCUUCUUGGAGAGGGCGGCACCGGAGACGUCUACAAGGUAAGGGACCAACCAAUUCCUAGAGAGUAGGGGAACUGAACAAGAUUGUUAUCACUACACACAAUCACACAAUGAUUUAGGCAGACAUAUCAAGCUUCGGGUUUGGGGGCUGCAUUAGACCCUCUCUUUCCUACUUGUAUAUAAGUCAACCUUUCUGUCUGUAUUACAGGGACGACACCAUCGUAAAGGCGUGGUAGCAGUGAAGAUCGCCAACAUCAGCCGAGUACUGUAUCUUUAUAAUUCCAUUCUCUAAAUAUCAAUCCUAUUUGUGUAGUUGCCUAUGUGAGCUAAAGGGAUUUCUAUUAUUCCACUCCAGGAUGAAGAGUCAGUCGUGAGGGAGCUAAAGUUUCUCCAGCAGUUCGGCAGCCACAAGAACAUCUUCUCUUACUAUGGAGCCUACUACAGGGCUCCACUCACAGAGUGCUCAUCGGAGCUCUUGGAAGUAAGAAAUGAUUUACUGUAUCGUGUUCAUUCCUCUUAUGCCAAAGCAAUCUCCACUGGAAGUGACAGAAAACAGGACCUUAAAUAAUGUCUAUAUAUUGCAGAUUGUUCUUGAAUACUGUGGUGGAGGCUCUCUCUCCAACCUCAUCAGCAAGACCAAUGGCCAAUACCUGAAGGAGACCUGGAUUGGCUAUGUCUGCAAGGAGGUUUUAAAGGGGCUGCACCACAUCCACAAGAACCGGCCGUUCAUAGACACAUCAAGAGCAUGAACAUCAUGCUCACAGAGACGGCCAAAGUGAAAAUCAGUGAGUAAAACUUACUGUUAUAAGAGUAAUGGAUGAUGGGGAGCUUCUGUGAAUAUGGAGUCAGGGGGUUUCAUAAUUCAGGUUUCUAUCUUAUUGUGGUUAAACAAGUUAUUUUCCAUUAAUAGAUUCUGUCAUUUCAGUCGACUUUGGAAACAGCUGGGACCUGGACCCGCAUACUGGAUUGUGCCACGAGGCGGAUGAGACUCUACAUUGGAUGGCACCCGAGGCCAUAAGGCAGAAGGGUCAGCGCCUGGCGUACGACACCAAAUGUGACAUCUGGUCGCUGGGGAUAACCAUCGAAAUGGCCGAGGGAAAACCACGUAAGUGAAUCACAAGCAUCGGUGGAGCACCUGAUAAGAGAAGCACAACCACUGAAGCUUCAAUUAAAUAGAUGGUGAGUCGGUCCCAGCUCUUGUCACUAUACAUUGUACCUGAGCUUGCAGACAUGGAACGCCCCACAUUUUCUUAUUAACACUUGGGACAUUUGGCAACUCCUAUAUCCACUUAACCGCUUCCACAGUCUGCCCUCACCAUGCCCCUUGUCUGUACAAAUUUGGGAUAAUGGGGAGAUUUCAGUCUCAGCUCAGGGGGAUGUGAUAUAUUUUUAAAUACCUCCUAAAUAUAAAUAGAGAUUUUUCUACUGCAGACUUUAAAUGUGGCCCUUGAGAUGCAGGCAGGGAUAUGUGUGUUGUCAGGGAAAUAUAGGUGGACACAGAGCAGAUAUGAUAUAUUUUAUUUAUAUUCACUGUCUAUGUCUCGGGGGCAUAACAGUAUAACUAUGGGCCCAAG